rnacentral:rRNA from 1 species
AACGAACGCUGGCGGCAUGCCUAACACAUGCAAGUCGAACGAUGCCUUCGGGCAUAGUGGCGCACGGGUGCGUAACACGUGGGAAUCUGCCCUUCGGUUCGGAACAACACAGAGAAAUUUGUGCUAAUACCGGAUAAUGACGUAAGUCCAAAGAUUUAUCGCCGAAGGAUGAGCCCGCGUAGGAUUAGGUAGUUGGUGGGGUAAUGGCCUACCAAGCCGACGAUCCUUAGCUGGUCUGAGAGGAUGAUCAGCCACACUGGGACUGAGACACGGCCCAGACUCCUACGGGAGGCAGCAGUGGGGAAUAUUGGACAAUGGGCGAAAGCCUGAUCCAGCAAUGCCGCGUGAGUGAUGAAGGCCCUAGGGUUGUAAAGCUCUUUUACCAGGGAUGAUAAUGACAGUACCUGGAGAAUAAGCUCCGGCUAACUCCGUGCCAGCAGCCGCCGUAACAC